GUGAGGAAUAUUGGACAAUGGGCGCAAGCCUGAUCCAGCCAUGCCGCGUGCAGGAAGACGCAUCUAUGGUGUGUAAACUGCUUUUGUACGGGAAGAAACACUCCCUCGUGAGGGAGCUUGACGGUACCGUAAGAAUAAGGAUCGGCUAACUCCGUGCCAGCAGCCGCGGUAAUACGGAGGAUCCAAGCGUUAUCCGGAAUCAUUGGGUUUAAAGGGUCCGUAGGCGGUUUAAUAAGUCAGUGGUGAAAGCCCAUCGCUCAACGAUGGAACGGCCAUUGAUACUGUUAGACUUGAAUUACAAGGAAGUAACUAGAAUAUGUAGUGUAGCGGUGAAAUGCUUAGAUAUUACAUGGAAUACCAAUUGCGAAGGCAGGUUACUACUUGUGGAUUGACGCUGAUGGACGAAAGCGUGGGGAGCGAACAGGAUUAGAAACCCGAGUAGUCC
rnacentral:rRNA from 1 species